AUUUGAAAUCUGCAAGACAAGCUGAAUCUGUUUAUUCAAAGAUUUGAAGUGGAUGCAUUAGGCUAACGGCACCACUAAAUUCUUUUAUGGAAGUAAUUUAUUUGGUAAGAGUCAACGUAUCAUUGGAGAAUAUGAGAGUACUAGCAGAUACAAGUGUAGUACAAAUUCAUCCCACCAAAAUAGGUUCUUGUAUGUUCAACUGGCACUCAAAGAAGUUGAUAGUACUGUAGUACAGAGUCCGUUUAGUACAAGUUGUACUGUAAACGUUAUUGGGGGGGGGGGGGGGUUAGCUUAAAUAGCUCAGAGUUUGGGUUAUUAUAGCAGAGAGCCAUAGACAUCAGAGUGGCAGGUUUCUUUGGGGGCAUUCCAACAGAGGCAAAACAAGAUGAGGAACCUUAUUGUUUUUUCCACUAUCACCAUUGAUUGGGGGGAAAUGACACAAUAAGAAGACUUGAAUAAAUGCUGCAUUGCUUUAAGUGACAGACUGGAGAUAGAUAGAGGAGAGGAAGAAUAUCAGGGUUUGCCACAAUCCAGCUUUUAAAUUCACCCCGUGGCAUGGCCACUAGGUUUCUGAUACAGGUUGUUUGGGCAAAGAAAGUUUCUUCUCAGAAAAUGGAACUUCACACCUGCACCCCAGGACAACACCCUCAAUUACCAACUGUAAACUACUGUUGGAUGUUUUAUGCUUGGAACAAGCUUGUGUUCUUUGAUCUGGGUUUUGAAUAGAACUAGCUUCAUGCAAAUGGACAAGACUGCAACAAUGAUGAUUUAUUAUUUCCUCAGAUGUAAUGUUAUCUGCUUUUGCUUCCAUUUUGUCUUGUUAUCUCAUGAUUUCGGGAAAAAAAAACUAUCACUCUAAAUUCUGGGUGUUUUUAGCUUCAAAGUACUGAUAUUUUAUGAAAUCAAGUUCUUGGUACCUUAA